rnacentral:ncRNA from 1 species
UACAAAGCGAUAAAAAGGAAAAGUAGAUAUCGGAAUUUACACAGAGAGCUUCAGUUUGGUGAAAUGAAGUUAAAGGAAAGUAUUGAAAAAUGGCCUUUUUUGCUACAUGCUGAACGAUAAUUCUAGUAGGUUCUGUCGAGAGUAGGCACUCGUUAUCAUUGCUUGAGUAUUACACAUAAUAAUGAUUCUUUUAUAAAUGUGCGUACUUGCUGAGGUAUAGUUAGCGAUAGCUAUACGAAUAAAGGUGGUACCGUGGGAGACCCCUCACCCUUUAC